rnacentral:lncRNA from 1 species
UUACAAUAAAUAAAAAUGUUAGUGAUGUAAAAAGACAUUUCUUACAGUAAAUCCUGGAAAAUGUAACAAUGUAAGAUGAAAAAAAAAACCACAAUUACCAAGCAGAAUCAUUAGCAAAGUACUCAAAAUUGAAUCAAUAGUAAAAUCCUGGAAUAAAUCUUAGGGGGAAAAAUGUCAGUUGAUUAAAUGUUCCCCUUUUGUCAUCUUUGAUGAUUCUGUCAAUUUUCUGUUUCAUUUCAUUGUCUGUAAACAGUAUUUUUGCUUUCCCAUCAUUUGAGUAGUACAAAUGUGUGAGCAAUGCUGAGCAGUAGCACAGAAUCGGCUGGCUUUGUUACAACUCAGUACAAGCCAAGGAGUUGCUGUCACUUUCUAAUGUUGUUGACAAUCCCAGCUUAGAUCCAACAGAGUUUUCGAAGAAAAAGUGUAAGUAUUUUUCUCUCUAGUUAUUAUGUCCCCAGACAGUGAACUGAAAGAAAGUUUUUCACUGUUGUAGAUCAAAGUGCUAAUACAAUUAGCUUUAAAUCUUCAAAAAGUUGUAUGCUUUUUGAAUAUGCUAUUUACAGAUUACUUCUUAUUUUCUCAUUUUAAUACAAUUUUUCAAUAAGCUACAAUUCUAGGUUAAUAUUAGACUAAUUCCAAAAGUGUGUGCCCGUAGAUUUUUUCAUAUUUCUUGGUGGUUUCUUUAGCAACAAAAGGAGAAAAAGAAGACGAAGACACCAAGACAAAAGUGCAACGUGUCCUGGGUGUGGCACAGAAAGAAUUUUCAGCACUGCAAGUAGAAAAAAAAGAAGUUAUAAUGACCAAUCUGCAAAUGCACAGUGAAGCUGAAACUAAUGCUUGAGGAUAAAAGAGAAUUGGAACACCUUAUGAAACAGAAAUACUGUACAAAACAAAAGAAAGAACUCACUGACAAGAUAAUAUAUGUAGUACCUGCACAGAAAGCUGCUGAAAGAACCUCGACUGCUGAAACUGGGAAACUGAAGAAGCACAAAGGUCAGGAAAGCAAUCAAAGGUGUGGAAAUGCAGUAACUCCUGUCCUACAAACACUGAACUGUAAUGAAGGCACAUCCAUUGCACAGCAAACUGUCUGUAUUGUAUUUCGUGCUUGUUCAGUUUCAUGCAGUAUCUCUGAGGUCAAUGGAGAGUUUCUCAUUAAGUUCAGUAUUCAUUGA